CCUUCUGUCUCCCUGUCACCUUCUCACAAGGGGACACCCGUUCUGGGUUGGAUCUCCAGCAGCCACUGGCAGGGGGUUCCUGUGCCAAUAGUUCUCAUCAUCAGUAAAGAGCGUUUCCUUCUCUGGAAUUGUGUGUGCCGGUGAAAUUACAAAUGUGGUCUAGAAAGCUUUGGAUAUCCGUGACUUUUAUCCAGGCAACUGAAGUCCUCCUCAGCCAUCUCCAUUGAUUUCUGCUCUGAAGUCCCCCUCCCUCCCCCCGCAGCCCAGGAGCAUUGAUGGGCAGUUGCUGCGUUGCCUAGGAAGGCCACUUGGCAGCCAUCCUUCCUGGGACUGGUAGAGGACCAGAAUCUGCCUGGCUCCACCUUCAGAGACAGCCAGUCCACUUCCUCCUUUUUUGACACUGUUGUCUAAUAAAUGGUCCCCAGCCUAAGGUCCUCUAAGGAAACAACGCCAUCUGGUGGAAAAUGACCGCAGGCCUUAGUUCAAGAAACAUUGAUAAAUCCUGAUGAGCCCUAAUGGAGAUGGUCAAGUGUCUGUGGGUGGGUCCACAAGCCGGGACUUCAGCAUCUCCGAGGUGGGUUUCCUCACUGUACAGAUGAGGAAACUGAGAUGAGAGGGGGAAAGAUCUGAGAUAGUCCCAUGAGGGUAGAUGUGAUGCCGAAGUGGAACUUGGAGCUCAUCCAAUCCAGACCCUUUUUGCAUGGAUGGGGAAACGAAGGUCCAGAAAUGGGAAAUGACUUAGGAGGGUGGGUCACAGAGACCCUGGGCAUCAUCCAGCCCAAUCAGCCAUUUUACAGAUGAGAAACUGAGGUCUAGACAAGGAAAGUGAUGGGAUCACACAACCAUCAGCAACCGAACAGGAAUGGGGCUGGGGAUUCUGAGCAGAAAUAGAAUGACAUUUCCAUCAUCCCCCAAUGGCUCCAUUCCCCUCUGUCUCACCAACUUUUCCAUCUCAGUGUAUGUUUGAAUUUGGAGACUCUUAUCUGUAUUGUAUGAUAAAUAAUAUAUAAAUAAAUGAGUUAUAUAUGUA